UACGUAGGGGGGCAAGCGUUGUCCGGAAUUAUUGGGCGUAAGAGCGUGUAGGCGGCCAGAUAAGUCCGCUGUGAAAUCUCGAGGCUCAACUUCGAGCUGUCGGUGGAAAGCUAUCUGGCUAGAGUCCGGAAGAGGAGAAUGGAAUUCCUGGUGUAGCGGUGAAAUGCGCAGAUAUCAGGAAGAACACCCGUGGCGAAGGCGGUUCUCUGGGACGGUACUGACGCUGAGACGCGAAAGCGUGGGAG
rnacentral:rRNA from 1 species